CAUUGGUGCCAGCAGCCGCGGUAAUUCCAGCUCCCAAUAGCGUAUAUUAAAGUUGUUGCAGUUAAAAAGCUCGUAGUUGAAUUUCGGGAUCAAUAUGUUGGUCGUGCCUUGGUACGUACUGGCGUCAUUGGUUUCUACCUUCUGAAGAACCUCGAUGUCAUUAAUUUGGUGUCUUGGGGAAUCAGGACUGUUACUUUGAAAAAAUUAGAGUGUUUAAAGCAAGCUAACGCUUGAAUACAUUAGCAUGGAAUAAUGAAAUAGGACGUUCGAUCCUAUUUUGUUGGUUUCUAGGAUUGACGUAAUGAUUAAUAGGGAUAGUUAGGGGCAUUAGUAUUCAAUUGUCRGAGGUGAAAUUCUUGGAUUUAUUGAAGACUAACUACUGCGAAAGCAUUUGCCAAGGAUGUUUUCAUUAAUCAAGAACGAAAGUUAGGGGAUCGAAGACGAUCAGAUACCGUCGUAGUCUUAACCAUAAACUAUGCCGACUAGGGAUCGGAUGAUGUUAAUUUUUUAAUGACUCA
rnacentral:rRNA from 2 species